UACGUAGGGUGCAAGCGUUAAUCGGAAUUACUGGGCGUAAAGCGUGCGCAGGCGGUUUUGCAAGACAGAUGUGAAAUCCCCGGGCUUAACCUGGGAACUGCAUUUGUGACUGUACGGCUAGAGUGCGGCAGAGGGGGAUGGAAUUCCGCGUGUAGCAGUGAAAUGCGUAGAUAUGCGGAGGAACACCGAUGGCGAAGGCAAUCCCCUGGGCCUGCACUGACGCUCAUGCACGAAAGCGUGGGGAGCAAACAGG
rnacentral:rRNA from 1 species